GGAAUGCUUUUGUGUUUAUUGACAGCAUGGCUUAAUCUUUCCUUAAAUAUGCCAACAAACUUUUUUAACUGCAUUUAUCAUCUUUUUUAGGUCUUCAUUAUUAAAUUUUAAAGUGUGGUAUCUCUUCCACCCCUACAUUGGGAGGGUAAUUUCUUGAACCAUGUUAUGUUUUAACUGAUUUUUCUUACCUCUUUCUCUCCCAAUAGAAAUUAUCCCUAAACGUAAUGGACUUCUGUAUUCAGAUUGUGCUUAAUUUGUCUGGUUUAUGAAGGGUUGAGAGAAAAAGUUCACUUAAAAGAUUCCAUUUCCAGUUCUAUAAUAUAAUCAGGUUUUGAAUAAUAUUUAUUCCAAUUUAAAGUAUAACAUUUGGGAAGCCAGUAGCCCAACUAAAAUUUAGACCUUCUAUUACCAUUCUAGGCACAGUUGACUUCUAUAUUGAAGCUCUGGGAAAAAUUCUUUUUUUUAAUCAAUGAUUAGAUUGUUACCUUUUUUAUAAGUAGGUCAGAAAACCACUAAAUUUUAAAUCAGUAGGUAUUAUAAAAGCCAUGUAUAAAAAGUUCUUUCCUAUAGUCAGAUUAUGUCCUUGUCAGCAGGUUUUUUGUCUCCCACCCUUCCCCACGAUGUGUAAUUAUUACUGAAACUGUAGCAGCAUCAGUCAAAUGGUAAUUCAAAUAAAACAAGUCUUUUUUCUUUUACAGAGAAUGCUAUAAAGGAGAGACCUUCAUUUAGAAAUAUGAUUUCUAAAGUUUCAGAAAACAAAAUUGUUGAGGUGUUAGACUAUUUGAAUGAUUAUUUAUAAAUCAGAGUAGCAUCAAAAUGGAGAAAGGAAACUAAAACUUCUGAAAAAUUAGUAAAAUAUAUAAAUAAGCCAAACAUUUAAAGUUGGUUUUUGUGAAAGCUUCUUUGAGGAUUUUUGGAGUCUAUUCUGCAUUCCCAAGAGUCUGUGUUUAUUGUAUUUUACAUGAUCUGCAACAUAGAAAAUUACGUAUUUUUUCUUCAGUCAUCCCUAUAAAGUAUUUUAAUAAAAAAUUGAAAU
rnacentral:lncRNA from 1 species